GUGGCAAACGGGUGAGUAACGCGUGGGUAACGUACCCUGAUCCUGGGAAUAACCCUCGGAAACGAGGGCUAAUACCGAAUGUGGCGAACGACCGGUUGGUCGCUCGCUAAAGGUGGCCUCUUCUAUGCUGCCGGGUUGGGAUCGGCCCGCGUCCCAUUAGCUAGUUGGUGAGGUAACGGCUCACCAAGGCCACGAUGGGUAGCCGGCCUGAGAGGGUGUACGGCCACACUGGCACUGAGACAAGGGCCAGUCCCCUAUGGGAGGCGCAGGCGGGAAUAGUUCACAAUGGGCGAAAGCCUGAUGACGCGACGCCGCGUGAGCGAAGAAGACCUUCGGGUUGUAAAGCUCUGUCAGGAGGGAAGAAGGCUCUACGGGUUAAUAGCCCGUGGAAUUGACGGUACCUCCAGAGGAAGCCCCGGCUAAAUACGUGCCAGCAGCCGCGGUAAUACGUAUGGGGCAAGCGUUGUCCGGAUUUACUGGGCGUAAAGGGCGCGUAGGCGGUUUGUUAAGUCGAAGGUGAAAUCCUCGGGCUCAACUCGAGAAUUGCCUUCGAUACUGGCAAACUAGAGUGGCGGAGAGGAAAGCGGAACUCUUGGUGUAACGGUGGAAUGUGUAGAUAUCAAGAGGAACACCGGUGGCGAAGGCGGCUUUCUGGACGCACACUGACGCUCAGGCGCGAAAGCGUGGGUAGCAAACAGGAUUAGAUACCCUGGUAGUCCACGCCAUAAACGAUGGGUACUAGGUGUCGGGGGUAUCGACCCCUCCGGUGCCGCAGUUAACGCACUAAGUACCCCGCCUGGGGAUUAUGGUCGCAAGGCUGAAACUCAAAGGAAUUGACGGGGCCCCGCACAAGCGGUGGAGCAUGUGGUUUAAUUCGACGCAACGCGAAGAACCUUACCUGGGCUUGACAUGCUUGGGACAGCGCUGGAAACAGCGUCUCUCCUUCGGGAGCCCUUGCACAGGUGCUGCAUGGCUGUCGUCAGCUCGUGUCGUGAGAUGUUGGGUUAAGUCUCGCAACGAGCGCAACCCUCGUUAGUAGUUGCCAUCAGCUUGGCUGGGCAGUGUAGUGAGACUGCCGGUGAUAAACCGGAGGAAGGUGAGGAUGAUGUCAAGUCAUCAUGGCCCUUACGCCCAGGGGUACACGCGUGCUACAAUGGUCGGCACAAAGGGUCGGUAAGCCGACGAGGUGGAGCUAAUCCCAAA
rnacentral:rRNA from 1 species